GAAAAAUGUAGAGAGAGAAAGUUUGGGAGUGAGAGCAAGAAAGCCGCCGCCGAGAAUCUAAUCGGACCACCAUGUAAGUAGUUUCUAGCCACGAUCUAGGUGUAAGGACUCCUUGGAAGGAAGAAGAGGAUUUUGGUGAUCAGAGCUCCAUUUUUCUAUCAAGAAAAUUGAGAAUCCGUAAGAGGGAAUUCUCCAAAAGACGCACGAGGGAAACUAGUCAAAAUUCUUGUCCGAAGGCAAAGAUCUGAGCCGAUUUCCAAGAACGUUGGAGAGAAAAUUUCUCGGCGAGUCACGUGUCAACCGGCAAGAGGAGGAGAGCAUCGACGAAAAAGUGACACAUGUCACUCGGUGCGUGGAGCAGCGCGUCACAUACAGUGUUGAGCGACGCAACUCCAUACGACCAUCGACACGCAGCAACUCCGUCUGACCCACGGCACAACCCAAUAGACGAUCCAACCUGAAGCCUUUGGUCUAGUUGAUCCGCAGAACAAGCUGACUGAAUUGGACUGCAAACUGAACUGGCCCAGCGAACCGCAACUACAAACAACCUGCACAUGACACCUGCGACUAGACUUCGUCCGAGAACAUGGAGGCACGUGAGGAUGUGUGGCAACGCGUGAGGACACGUGGGAGCACGUGAGUUUCUGUUUGUCGUCCAUCCGACUUCUGUCCCGAUUCCAAUUCUGAUGAUGUUUUAUGCGAAUAUGACCUAAUAGGGAAAAUCAAUAUUUUUGGACACUCUAUUUGUGCAUAAACGCUGGCAAAAGGGCACAUGUCAACCAAGAAAGUCACCGCCUUGUAUUUAGGAAGAAAUAUUUGUAGGAUUCGCUUGGAUUACAUGCAUGCUAGUACAUUUGCCUUAGAUUAGUUUUCCAUGAAUGAGAUUAGGAAAAUUGAUUAUUAU